rnacentral:rRNA from 1 species
UACAGAGGUGUCGAGCGUUGUCCGGAAUUACUGGGCGUAAAGGGCGUGUAGGUGGGUGGGCAAGUCGGAUGUGAAAUCACCGGGCUUAACCCGGUAACUGCAUCCGAAACUGCCCGUCUUGAGUGCAGAAGAGGAGAGUGGAAUUCCCAGUGUAGCGGUGAAAUGCGUAGAUAUUGGGAGGAACACCAGUGGCGAAGGCGGCUCUCUGGUCUGCAACUGACACUGAAACGCGAAAGCUAGGGGAGCAAACGGG